rnacentral:rRNA from 1 species
UGGCCGGUACAAAGAGAAGCGAGGCUGUGAAGCGGAGCAAAUCUCAAAAACCGGUCCCAGUUCGGAUUGUAGGCUGCAACUCGCCUACGUGAAGUCGGAGUUGCUAGUAAUCGCGGAUCAGAAUGCCGCGGCGAAUGCGUUCCCGGGUCUUGUACACACCGCCCGUCACACCAUGGAAGUUGGGGGCGCCCGAAGUUGCCUAAGAAAUAAGGUACCUAAGGCGAAACCAAUGACUGGGGUGAAGUCGUAACAAGGUACC